rnacentral:rRNA from 1 species
GACGAACGCUGGCGGCGUGCUUAACACAUGCAAGUCGAACGGAAAGGCCCUGCUUGCAGGGUGCUCGAGUGGCGAACGGGUGAGUAACACGUGGGUGAUCUGCCCCUUACUUUGGGAUAAGCCUGGGAAACUGGGUCUAAUACUGGAUAGGACCAUGCUGUAGGUGGUGUGGUGGAAAGAUUAGUUUCGGUAAGGGAUGAGCUCGCGGCCUAUCAGCUUGUUGGUGGGGUAAUGGCCUACCAAGGCGUCGACGGGUAGCCGGCCUGAGAGGGUGGACGGCCACAUUGGGACUGAGAUACGGCGCAGACUCCUACGGGAGGCAGCAGUGGGGAAUAUUGCACAAUGGGCGCAAGCCUGAUGCAGCGACGCCGCGUGGGGGAUGACGGCCUUCGGGUUGUAAACUCCUUUCAGCCAUGACGAAGCCCUUGUGGUGACGGUAGUGGGAGAAGAAGCACCGGCUAACUACGUG